rnacentral:rRNA from 1 species
UCUAGAAGAAAAAAGGUAAUACUUCAUAAGGAAACCUUCAUUAAUUGGCGGCCUUCUUCCUGUUUAGAGGAACUCGUCUCAUAAUCGAUAUUCCUCGUUAAUUUUUUCUUCUUCUCUUCUCUUAUACCGCCGUCUCAAGAUUUAGUUUAUUUAUCAAAAGAAAAACAUUUUAUUAAGUCAGGUAAAGGUGAGGAAAUGAAAAAGAGAAGAUAAGUUACUUAUAAACAUUAUUGAUGGAUUUUCAAUUAAAAUUUCUAUGAAACAGGAUUUAAAAGUAAUUUUUCAUUAAUAUUCUACAAUGAACUAGUAAAAUUAGGUGC